AUGGAUCGUGGGGGUCGUGGGAUUGUGGGCGCAGUAAAUCCCCACGUCCGCCCCCUCGGCUUCGCAGCCCACGAGGCUAUAAGUAGGGGGAAGAGGGGGGCACGCGCGCCCCUCCUUCCCACUACUCCUCGUUCUCUUCCUCCUUGCUGCUCCUCGCUCUCCUCCUUCCUCUUCUCUUCUUCGCUCCGCCGCACGCCCAAGCUCCGGCGAACGCUGCGGCGACAGCUCGCGAUGAGUUCUUCCUCCGCCGCCGCGCCUCCCCCAGUGCGCUCCGGCACCUGGGACGGCUCCGAAGUUCAUGAAGACCACAUUGAGUUCCUCCACCAGACCCGUCGGCUUCCCGGCGAGGAUCACGUGCAGGUGUGUCUUGCGCCGAAGGUGGAGAUUUCCCCCGCACCGCAGGAGGGCGAGCGGGUCAUCUUCCGCUCGGACUGCCUGCGCGGGCUGGGGCUGCCGGCGAGCAGUUUCUUCCAGUCCUUCCUGGAGUUCCACGGCCUCCAGCCGCACCACCUCACCCCCAACGAAGUGGUGCUGCUAUUCGCCUUCGUGGCCAUGUGCGAAGGCUUCCUCGGAGUCCUCCCCACCCUCGAGCUCUGGGGGGAGUUCUUCUUCUCCAAGCUCUGCACCCAGGUUGCGGGCGUGCCAGCUCAGUGCGGCGCUUUCAUCAUCGUGCGAAGGUCGGGGGCCGACAAUCCCUUCCCCUCCAUCUCACUGAUCAAGUCGGUGAAGAUGUGGCAGAGAUCCUACUUCUACGUCAAGAACGCCUCUGCGAGGGGAGACUGGGUCAACUUGCCGGCUUUCGAAGCCGGCCCACCGGCUGGGCGACUGCCCAACUGGUCAUACCGGGCCAAGUCGCUGACGCCUUCGGGAGCCGGCGCCAUCAUGCGACUCCGAGUGCUGACGCAGUCGGAGGGUGUGACUGGUCCAGAUAUGUUGGCCGCCUUCGUUUCGCACCGAGUUCUCCCACUCCAAGGCCGCCCUCAUAUGAUAUGCCUGAUGAGCGGGCACCGCGACCCGAGUCGGAUGUGCACCAAGGACAUGCCUCACGAAGAGGUGGCCAUCAUGGUGAACUACCUCUCGGACAACAGGCUCCUAGAGGACUGGCGAUUCGGCAAGGAGCCGUACUCCCGCGCCAACCCCCCGCCCGUGGUGAGUCACCUUUCUUUUCUUUCUUUGGGUUGUCUUCUUCUUGCCUAG
rnacentral:rRNA from 1 species